CCUGAAAAAUAAUUUAACUUUACCUAAAAUUAAAAGAGUAACAUGCUUCACUUACUGUAUUUUUCGAAACACAUAUAUAGUCUUAAAUUUCUAAGAGAAAACCUAAUAACUCCUUCAUUUUCUCUUAAAUGGUUUUCAAUAUCAAUUACUUUUUAUGAUUUUCUUCAUAUCUUUUAAAUUUAUAUAAGAAACUUAAUGCGUAAUUGAAUUGGACUUUGACUAAUUAGAUGAGAUCAAAUGAUAAUUUUUUUUAAAUCUAAUUAUUAAUUAAAUUGAAUCGAAUGAAAAAAAAAAUAUUAAUUUAGAUUGGAUGUGUAACCCUAAAAAUUACCAACAAAAAUACCAGACUCCAAAAAAAGAAAGUAAAAAUACCCUAACAAUUGUCGUUUCUAGUUUACGAUCAAACGACAUGAUUACAGAUGCCUUUUAUUGUCGUUUUACCAUGCGAGCAAAGCAAACUCGUCGUGGUUGUCUUGUCUUGUUUUGUUUCUAUCUGUUUUUGAAAGAAAUUAAUUAUGAAAUUCGUUUUCGUUUCACCAAAAUAAAUAAAUAAAUAAUUAAAUUCAGAGGACAAUUCAGUUCAGUUGGGUAAUAUUGCUUAGCUACUUCUUCUUCUUCUUCUUCUUCUACUGCUACUUCUAAAGGCAUCAGAUUCACCGCCAUAAGAAAAAUAUAUACAGAGAGUUAUUAGUAUUGAAACAGGUUUUCAAUUCUUCUUCUUCUUCUUCUUUGUUUGGGUUGGUAAAUUCGGUGUUUGGGAUUGGGAGGAGGUUGGAGAAGAACCAUCUCCAUCUCCCAUCCCACUGAAGACAUGAUAACUCGUUCUAAACUCGUGGAGCAACUCAGAGAAUACCAGAUCCGAUCCCAGCAAAAAUUCUCACCUCUAACUGUCUUCUCCUCCAAACCCAAUCCCACUUCAAGGUAUGACGUUGCUGUGGCUAUCAUUUGGGCCUUAGUAUUCACCAUGCUUGUUGUAUCGUCCUAUCUGGCCCUGCAUUUCAAGCACUUUCGGCUUUCUGUAUUCAUCUUUUGCUUGGGCGUCUUUCUUCUUUUAAGGCUGAGAAUAUCUAGGCAUACACUGGCUAGAAGGAGUAGAGAGAGGAAAAUGUUAUUACCCUUGUCCAUGUGACCAAUGAGAGCAUUAAAUUUGCAGCUAUAUACUUGGAGAAAGUGGAUUAACCGCAGCCCUCAAUUCAUGUUCAAUUUAAUAAUUUGAUGUUACGGGAGCCUGUGGCACUCAAUCCUGGUCAACAUUGUCUGUCCUCAAUAGAUGGUACAGUUCUUUUCCAUCUCUUUCACGGCCCAUUAUAUACAGUGAGAAUUUUCAAAGGGUUUCAUUUUCUUCAUGUGUAAACAUAACCCAUAAACCAAGAGGCUACUGCUAACUGUCAAAUUUUCUCUCAUUAGCUUGUAAGUACAAGUAAAGAAAGUUAUACUUAAAAAGAACUAUAGAUUGAGUUGUUGAGAAUUUUCAUGACAAGGUUGAUAACAAGAGGCAUUACCAACUUAUAAGUUGAUUAUAAAAUUCAGGACGUAAACAAAAUUAAACCCAAUGACAUUUCAGUUCUAGUUGUCAAA